GAUGAAGAACGUAGUGAAAUGCGAUAAGUAAUGUGAAUUGCAGAAUUCAGUGAAUCAUCGAAUCUUUGAACGCACCUUGCGCCCUUUGGCCAUUCCGAAGGGCAUGCCUGUUUGAGUAUCAUGAACACCUCAACUCUUUAUGGUUUUCCAUGAUGAGCUUGGACUUUGGGGGUUUUGCUGGCCUAUGGUCGGCUCCUCUAAAAUAAAUCAGCUUACCAGUGUUUGGUGGGUAUCAUGGGUGUGAUAACUAUCUACGCUUGUGGUUUUUCCGCCAGGUAACCUUCGACAGCGGAGGUUCACUGGAGCUCAUAGAUGUCUCUCCUCAGCGAGGACAGCCCUUUGAAUGUUUGAUCUCAAAUCAGGUAGGACUACCCGCUGAACUUAAGCAUAUCAAUAAGCGGAGGA
rnacentral:misc_RNA from 1 species